GACGAACGCUGGCGGCGUGCUUAACACAUGCAAGUCGAACGAUGAAGCCGGAGCUUGCUCUGGUGAAUUAGUGGCGAACGGGUGAGUAACACGUGAGUAACCUGCCCUUGACUCUGGGAUAACUGCUAGAAAUGGUAGCUAAUACCGGAUACGACCCUCGGUGGCGUCACCCGGGGGUGGAAAGAAUUUCGGUCAAGGAUGGACUCGCGGCCUAUCAGCUAGUUGGUGAGGUAACCGCCCACCAAGGCGACGACGGGGAGCCGGCCUGAGAGGGUGACCGGCCACACUGGGACUGAGACACGGCCCAGACUCCUACGGGAGGCAGCAGUGGGGAAUAUUGCACAAUGGGCGCAAGCCUGAUGCAGCAACGCCGCGUGAGGGAUGACGGCCUUCGGGUUGUAAACCUCUUUUAGUAGGGAAGAAGCGAAAGUGACGGUACCUGCAGAAAAAGCACCGGCUAACUACGUGCCAGCAGCCGCCGUAA
rnacentral:rRNA from 1 species